GGGUUGUGAGGUUAAGCGACUAAGCGUACACGGUGGAUGCCCUGGCAGUCAGAGGCGAUGAAGGACGUGCUAAUCUGCGAAAAGCGCCGGCGAGGUGAUAUGAACCUUUGACCCGGCGAUGUCCGAAUGGGGAAACCCAGUGUGAUUCGUCACACUAUCGUUAACUGAAUACAUAGGUUAACGAGGCGAACCGGGGGAACUGAAACAUCUAAGUACCCCGAGGAAAAGAAAUCAACCGAGAUUCCCCCAGUAGCGGCGAGCGAACGGGGAGCAGCCCAGAGUCUGAAUCAGCUUGUGUGUUAGUGGAAGCGUCUGGAAAGUCGCACGGUACAGGGUGACAGUCCCGUACACGAAAGCACACAGGCUGUGAACUCGAAGAGUAGGGCGGGACACGUGGUAUCCUGUCUGAAUAUGGGGGGACCAUCCUCCAAGGCUAAAUACUCCUGACUGACCGAUAGUGAACCAGUACCGUGAGGGAAAGGCGAAAAGAACCCCGGCGAGGGGAGUGAAAAAGAACCUGAAACCGUGUACGUACAAGCAGUGGGAGCACCUUCGUGGUGUGACUGCGUACCUUUUGUAUAAUGGGUCAGCGACUUAUAUUCUGUAGCAAGGUUAACCGUAUAGGGGAGCCGAAGGGAAACCGAGUCUUAACUGGGCGUUAAGUUGCAGGGUAUAGACCCGAAACCCGGUGAUCUAGCCAUGGGCAGGUUGAAGGUUGGGUAACACUAACUGGAGGACCGAACCGACUAAUGUUGAAAAAUUAGCGGAUGACUUGUGGCUGGGGGUGAAAGGCCAAUCAAACCGGGAGAUAGCUGGUUCUCCCCGAAAGCUAUUUAGGUAGCGCCUCGUGAACUCAUCUUCGGGGGUAGAGCACUGUUUCGGCUAGGGGGCCAUCCCGGCUUACCAACCCGAUGCAAACUACGAAUACCGAAGAAUGUUAUCACGGGAGACACACGGCGGGUGCUAACGUCCGUCGUGAAGAGGGAAACAACCCAGACCGCCAGCUAAGGUCCCAAAGUCAUGGUUAAGUGGGAAACGAUGUGGGAAGGCACAGACAGCCAGGAUGUUGGCUUAGAAGCAGCCAUCAUUUAAAGAAAGCGUAAUAGCUCACUGGUCGAGUCGGCCUGCGCGGAAGAUGUAACGGGGCUAAACCAUGCACCGAAGCUGCGGCAGCGACGCUUAUGCGUUGUUGGGUAGGGGAGCGUUCUGUAAGCCGUUGAAGGUGUGCUGUGAGGCAUGCUGGAGGUAUCAGAAGUGCGAAUGCUGACAUAAGUAACGAUAAAGCGGGUGAAAAGCCCGCUCGCCGGAAGACCAAGGGUUCCUGUCCAACGUUAAUCGGGGCAGGGUGAGUCGACCCCUAAGGCGAGGCCGAAAGGCGUAGUCGAUGGGAAACAGGUUAAUAUUCCUGUACUUGGUGUUACUGCGAAGGGGGGACGGAGAAGGCUAUGUUAGCCGGGCGACGGUUGUCCCGGUUUAAGCAUGUAGGCGGAACGACCAGGUAAAUCCGGUCGUUUUUUAACGCUGAGGUGUGAUGACGAGGCACUACGGUGCUGAAGUAACAAAUGCCCUGCUUCCAGGAAAAGCCUCUAAGCAUCAGGUAACAUCAAAUCGUACCCCAAACCGACACAGGUGGUCAGGUAGAGAAUACCAAGGCGCUUGAGAGAACUCGGGUGAAGGAACUAGGCAAAAUGGUGCCGUAACUUCGGGAGAAGGCACGCUGAUAUGUAGGUGAAGCCCCUGCGGGUGGAGCUGAAAUCAGUCGAAGAUACCAGCUGGCUGCAACUGUUUAUUAAAAACACAGCACUGUGCAAACACGAAAGUGGACGUAUACGGUGUGACGCCUGCCCGGUGCCGGAAGGUUAAUUGAUGGGGUUAGCGGUAACGCGAAGCUCUUGAUCGAAGCCCCGGUAAACGGCGGCCGUAACUAUAACGGUCCUAAGGUAGCGAAAUUCCUUGUCGGGUAAGUUCCGACCUGCACGAAUGGCGUAAUGAUGGCCAGGCUGUCUCCACCCGAGACUCAGUGAAAUUGAACUCGCUGUGAAGAUGCAGUGUACCCGCGGCAAGACGGAAAGACCCCGUGAACCUUUACUAUAGCUUGACACUGAACACUGGUCCUUGAUGUGUAGGAUAGGUGGGAGGCUUUGAAGCGUGGACGCCAGUCUGCGUGGAGCCGUCCUUGAAAUACCACCCUUUAAUGGCUGGUGUUCUAACGUAGACCCGUGAUCCGGGUUGCGGACAGUGUCUGGUGGGUAGUUUGACUGGGGCGGUCUCCUCCCAAAGAGUAACGGAGGAGCACGAAGGUUAGCUAAUCCUGGUCGGACAUCAGGAGGUUAGUGCAAUGGCAUAAGCUAGCUUGACUGCGAGAGUGACGGCUCGAGCAGGUGCGAAAGCAGGUCAUAGUGAUCCGGUGGUUCUGAAUGGAAGGGCCAUCGCUCAACGGAUAAAAGGUACUCCGGGGAUAACAGGCUGAUACCGCCCAAGAGUUCAUAUCGACGGCGGUGUUUGGCACCUCGAUGUCGGCUCAUCACAUCCUGGGGCUGAAGUAGGUCCCAAGGGUAUGGCUGUUCGCCAUUUAAAGUGGUACGCGAGCUGGGUUUAGAACGUCGUGAGACAGUUCGGUCCCUAUCUGCCGUGGGCGCUGGAGAAUUGAGGGGGGCUGCUCCUAGUACGAGAGGACCGGAGUGGACGCAUCACUGGUGUUCGGGUUGUCAUGCCAAUGGCACUGCCCGGUAGCUAAAUGCGGAAAAGAUAAGUGCUGAAAGCAUCUAAGCACGAAACUUGCCCCGAGAUGAGUUCUCCCUGAGACUUUAAGUCUCCUGAAGGAACGUUAAAGACUAUGACGUUGAUAGGUCGGGUGUGUAAGCGCAGCGAUGCGUUGAGCUAACCGAUACUAAUGAACCGUGAGGCUUAACCUUACAACGCCGAAGGUGUUU
rnacentral:rRNA from 1 species